rnacentral:rRNA from 1 species
UACAGAGGGUGCAAGCGUUGUUCGGAAUUAUUGGGCGUAAAGGGCGCGUAGGCGGUGCGGUAAGUCUAUGGUGAAAUCUCCGGGCUCAACUCAGAGCCUGCCACGGAAACUGCCGUGCUUGAGUGUGGGAGAGGUGCGUGGAAUUCCCGGUGUAGCGGUGAAAUGCGUAGAUAUCAGGAGGAACACCUGCGGUGUAGACGGCUCUCUGGACCAUAACUGACGCUGAGACACGAAAGCGUGGGUAGCAAACAGG